CCUACGGGUGGCAGCAGUGAGGAAUAUUGGUCAAUGGACGAGAGUCUGAACCAGCCAAGUAGCGUGAAGGAUGACUGCCCUAUGGGUUGUAAACUUCUUUUAUAUGGGAAUAAAAUGUUCCACGUGUGGGAUUUUGUAUGUACCAUAUGAAUAAGGAUCGGCUAACUCCGUGCCAGCAGCCGCGGUAAUACGGAGGAUCCGAUCGUUAUCCGGAUUUAUUGGGUUUAAAGGGGGCGUAGGUGGGUUGUUAAGUCAGUUGUGAAAGUUCGCGGCUCAACCGUCUAAUUGCAGUUGAAACUGGCAGUCUUGAGUACGGUAGAGGUGGGCGGAAGUCGUGGUGUAGCGGUGAAAUGCUUAGAUAUCACGAAGAACUCCGAUUGCGAAGGCAGUUCACUGGACUGCAACUGACACUGAGGCUCGAAAGUGUGGGUAUCAAACAGGAUUAGAUACCCCAGUAGUC
rnacentral:rRNA from 1 species